rnacentral:rRNA from 1 species
GAGUUUGAUCCUGGCUCAGAUUGAACGCUGGCGGCAGGCCUAACACAUGCAAGUCGAGCGGAUGACGGGAGCUUGCUCCUUGAUUCAGCGGCGGACGGGUGAGUAAUGCCUAGGAAUCUGCCUGGUAGUGGGGGACAACGUUUCGAAAGGAACGCUAAUACCGCAUACGUCCUACGGGAGAAAGCAGGGGACCUUCGGGCCUUGCGCUAUCAGAUGAGCCUAGGUCGGAUUAGCUAGUUGGUGGGGUAAUGGCUCACCAAGGCGACGAUCCGUAACAGGUCUGAGAGGAUGAUCUGCCACACUGGAACUGAGACACGGUCCAGACUCCUACGGGAGGCAGCAGUGGGGAAUUUUGGACAAUGGGGGCAACCCUGAUCCAGCCAUGCCGCGUGAGUGAAGAAGGCCUCGGUUGUAAGACUCUUCGUCGAGGGAAGAAAGUU